GUGUCAGCCGCCGCGGUAACACGUAGGAGGCGAGCGUUGUCCGGAAUCAUUGGGCGUAAAGAGCGCGCAGGCGGCUUGGCAAGUCGGGUGUGAAAUCCCGGGGCUCAACCCCGGGACUGCAUUCGAUACUGUCAGGCUAGAGGUAGGUAGGGGAGAUCGGAAUUCCUGGUGUAGCGGUGAAAUGCGCAGAUAUCAGGAGGAACACCGGUGGCGAAGGCGGAUCUCUGGGCCUUACCUGACGCUCAGGCGCGAAAGCUAGGGGAGCGAACAGGAUUAGAUACCCCCGUAGUCC
rnacentral:rRNA from 1 species